rnacentral:tRNA from 1 species
GGGUCCAUCGUAUAGUGGUAGUACAACGGUCUCCAAAACCGUUAGCGUAGGUCCGAUUCCUACUGGGCCCGCCA